rnacentral:rRNA from 1 species
GACGAACGCUGGCGGCGUGCUUAACACAUGCAAGUCGAACGGUAAGGCCCUUCGGGGUACACGAGUGGCGAACGGGUGAGUAACACGUGGGUGAUCUGCCCUGCACUUCGGGAUAAGCCUGGGAAACUGGGUCUAAUACCGGAUAGGACCCUGGGAUGCAUGUCCUGGGGUGGAAAGCUUUUGCGGUGUGGGGUGGGCCCGCGGCCUAUCAGCUUGUUGGUGGGGUGAUGGCCUACCAAGGCGACGACGGGUAGCCGGCCUGAGAGGGUGACCGGGCACACUGGGACUGGGAUCCGGCCCAGACGCCUACGGGGGGCAGCAGUGGGGAAUAUUGCACAAUGGGCGCAAGCCUGAUGCAGCGACGACGCGUGAGGGAUGACGGCCUUCGGGUUGUAAACCUCUUUCAGCACCGACGAAGCGCAAGUGACGGUAGGUGCAGAAGAAGGACCGGCCAACUACGUGCCAGCCGCCGCCGUAA